CAGGCCCCGAAUGCAGCAGCGGCGAGCGUGAACUUCCGCAGUGCACUG
rnacentral:SRP_RNA from 11 species